UUGAGUAUUGUAUAAUUUACCUUUCUUCUGAGAUCUGAUUAAUACAGAAGCCACUGCGCCCAGUCGAGAUAGAACUUUUUAAAAAAUCUUUUUUGGGGUAGAUUUCCAGCAUAAGAAAAGAGAAUAGUGUGAUGAACCUCCAUGACCCAUAACCAACUUCAACAAUCAUUGGCUCAUGGCCAGUCAUGUAGCUAUGUCUGGCCACUUCCCCCACCCUGGGUGCCCUGGAAUAUUUUGAAAUGAAUCAGUGUGGUAAGAGAAGGAAAUAUGUUUUCUUUUAAUAACCAUGCUGAAUCUUUUAUGGCAGGCCCUUGGUCUUAGGCGAGAUGAUACAUUUUCUGUUACAAUGCUUGGUCAUUGCAUCGAAAUGUACAUUGGUGAUUCUGAAGCUUAUAUCGGAGCAGACAUUAAAGACAAAUUAAAAUGUUAUGACUUUGAUGUGCAUACAAUGAAGACACUAAAAAACAUUAUUUCACCUCCGUGGGAUUUCAGGGAAUUUGAAGUAGAAAAACAGACUGCAGAAGAAACGGGGCUUACGCCAUUGGAAACCUCAAGGAAAACUCCAGAUUCCAGACCUUCCUUGGAAGAAACCUUUGAAAUUGAAAUGAAUGAAAGUGACAUGAUGUUAGAGACAUCUAUGUCAGACCACAGCACGUGACUCCAGUCAGUGGUCCUGGUCCCACUGUCCCAGUGUAGGUUA
rnacentral:sRNA from 1 species